rnacentral:lncRNA from 1 species
CACUUCUCUUAGCUAUACUAAAGAGCCUUUGUCAGUCUGGAGGAGGCAGCCAUGUGUCCAUGAAUGCUUAUUUAGUACGGUGAGGACAGAUGGCCUGGAAUUGCUGAAGAAGACCUUAAGAUAUAUUUAAAAGAGGAAAGGGAAAGAAACAAUAAGGGAGGAAAUAAAUUAGAGAAGAGGCAAAUGUGUGGCACAGAAAAGUACACACACACAUAAACACACACACAUGCAAGCCACAUGCACACAAAUGCAGACAGACUAUAAAGUGGAUUAUAGGACUGUGUAUGUCCUACAAACACAUUGUAUGUCCUACACACACAGUGAUGAGGAGUGACAAAAUGAAGACUCCAGAAUCUUCUUUAUCAGAUCCUGAAUGUGCACUUUCUGAAGUGAAGUCCGCUAUGUGCUAGGCACACAGAGAAUA